rnacentral:rRNA from 1 species
GAUGACGACCGGCGCACGGGUGCGGAACGCGUAUCGAACCUGCCCCUGUCAGGGGAAUAGCCCAUGGAAACGUGGAUUAAUGCCCCAUGGCACCAUGAUAUGGCAUCAUAUUAUGGUUAAAGGUUACGGACAGGGAUGGCGAUGCGUGCCAUUAGCUUGUUGGUAAGGUAACGGCUUACCAAGGCAACGAUGGCUAGGGGCCCUGAGAGGGGGAUCCCCCACACUGGUACUGAGACACGGACCAGACUCCUACGGGAGGCAGCAGUGAGGAAAAUUGGUCAAUGGGCGGAAGCCUGAACCAGCCAUGCCGCGUGCAGGAUGACUGCCCUAUGGGUUGUAAACUGCUUUUAUACGGGAAGAAACGCAGGUACGUGUACCUGUCUGACGGUACCGUAAGAAUAAGGACCGGCUAACUCCGUGCCAGCAGCCGCGGUAAUACGGAGGGUCCGAGCGUUAUCCGGAAUCAUUGGGUUUAAAGGGUCCGUAGGCGGGCCUAUAAGUCAGGGGUGAAAGGCCACGGCUCAACCGUGGGACUGCCCUUGAUACUGUAGGUCUUGAGUCGUUGUGGAGUUGCCGGAACAUGUGGUGUAGCGGUGAAAUGCAUAGAUAUCACAUAGAACACCUAUCGCGAAGGCAGGUGGCUAACAACGUACUGACGCUGAUGGACGAAAGCGUGGGGAGCGAACGGGGUUAGAUACCCCGGUAGUCCACGCCGUAAACGAUGGAUACUAGCUGUGGGACUUCGGUUCCGUGGCCAAGCGAAAGUGAUAAGUAUCCCACCUGGGGAGUACGUUCGCAAGAAUGAAACUCAAAGGAAUUGACGGGGGCCCGCACAAGCGGUGGAGCAUGUGGUUUAAUUCGAUGAUACGCGAGGAACCUUACCAGGCUUAAAUGCAGUCCGACA